GGGGGAUUAGCUCAGUUGGUAGAGCGCUCGCUUAGCGUGCGAGAGGUGCCGGGAUCGAAGCCCGGGUUCUCCA
rnacentral:tRNA from 1 species